AGGCGGGCGGGGUCGCCGGGGGAGAAGGCGGCGGGCCGAGGGAAUGGGCUUACUUUUUCUUGUCGUUCGCGCCGCCGGCGCCCUCCAUGGUGAAUCGGUCCCCGCGAUGUCUUCACGGCGGGCGGCCCCCAGGCUCGCUCCGGCCUAAGCGCUGGCUCCCUCCACACGCGGAGAAGAGAAGGAAAGACUACAGUUCAACUGUCAAUUGGUUGAUCACCCGGAUUUUAUCUACACCUUAGCCUAUGGUUGUUCAUCUCGUCUCUGCCUAUGGCCCAUUGACUCCCGGAUCCCAGCUCCAUUCUUCGGUACUUUACGCACCCUGCUUCCAGUACCCCAACCAGAAGAAUAUAUAUAGCAGUUAACUGUCAGCUGGCGAAAAGGAGGAAAAUUCAGGAAGAUAAAAUAGCUGAAUGAAUUAUCCCCGCUCCAGAACGCAGAGGAAAAAUGAAAUGGCCAGACCCAGAUGUUAAAAAUGUGUUCCUUGCUCUUUCCUGCCCUAGCAAGGGCUGUUCCAUGUUUAGGGGAUGAAUGCCGCUGAGAGUAUUAGCAAAAAUACAUGUGUCAUUGAGUCUGAGGAAGAUAACUGAGACAUACAGGUAUUUCUCAUAAUGCAUGUGGGCAUCCAUAGACAUAUUCUUAAAUGGCUUAAGGACUUGGAAACUACCUCUAGGAAACCUGAAACUUGAAUGUUGGUCCACUAGGGAGAAGAAAUGUUCCAUUAGCCUUCCAACUAAAGAAAUACACUAUCAAGAAGAACAUUAGCUGUGUGUCCUAUAAGCUUGGGAGAAUAACUUACUUUUAUUUUAAUACAUAUGUUACUUUUAUGGUCAGUAUUUUGGUAAAAUAUAUGCUCUAUUAUGGCAGUAAUUUGUCUGUCUUAUUAAAUGCUAUAUCUGCAGUACCUUCUGUGCAUAACACAGCAAAGGAGCUCAAUAAAUAUCAUUUUGUUGCUGCCCUAAAAAGAGUUCCAGGAGCACUGGUGUGUAGAAGCUCUGGAAAUAAGGAAUGGUGUGAAUAAAUAAAUAGCUUACUUGGAAGC
ensembl:lncRNA HIF1A-AS3 HIF1A antisense RNA 3